UGUGACUGCAGUUCAGUCGCUGUCCGUCGUCGGGAUCGCGUCAGCUCGUCGUUGGAUAUCCGGGUUUACGCGCUGAAGCAGAAAGCAGCUGUCAAAACCGCGAACGUGCCGCUGCACGAGUCUCGUUUUAUGAAUUUUUUCGCGCCGUUAGAGAGAGAGAGAGAGAGAUUGGGAGAGAGGGGGUGGGGGGAGAAAGGCAAUCUGUAAAAAACAAACAUCGUCGUACAAUUAACGCGCUAUUUAUAUUUCAAAUUUACAGUCACAUACGUGCAAUCUUUUCCUUUAUAUAUACAUAUUGUAUAUAUAUAUAUAUAUACACAUAUACCUAUAUUUUCUCUCGUCGUUUAUUCCGGCUUCGACUAUCCGACUGUAUUGUAUACAAUGAUCCAAGUUUCCAAUUAUACGAAUCGUUUGUCGCUUCAGAAUAUUCUAAUAUUAUGUAACGCAACUCACGGACUAUUUGACGGGUUCUUUUUUGGUAUUGAAUUUUGGAGAGUGGAUCUUUUUUAAAAAAUCGCUGAAAGUAUCGAAUUGAUGAAACAUCAGUAAUGUACUUAUACAACGGAAAAAGUAUUCGGGUAUAAUUAAAUACCUGUAAUAUCGUUGAGUUUUUUUCAAUUUAAAAAAAAAACAAAAAUUCGAAAAUAUCAGUCUCAAAAACUGUGAGGUGUACAAAACUUGGUGAAACCCAUUAAUUGCGAGAUCAAUCAACUGUUUGUUAUACCGUUGUUCUUAAUUUAUUUAACCUCAACUCUACCGACGCGUCUUAGACCUUGAAGAGAGUCCGUUCAAUUAUUUUUACCAUCCACGAAUUAUUUAUAUUUACGCAUGUAUAAAAUCAAGGCAAAGAAAACAUAAAAUGAAACCAUAACCAUGCUCGAAAAUAUUGGCAUCCAUGCAUCAGCUCCAAGUGCCUUACCUAAAACACACCUAAAAC